GACGAACGCUGGCGGCGUGCCUAACACAUGCAAGUCGAACGAGGUCCAUCCUUCGGGAGAAGACCUAGUGGCGAACGGGUGAGUAACACGUGAAGAACCUGCCCCGAAGACCGGGAUAACCCUCCGAAAGGAGAGCUAAUACCGGAUACCCCCACCGAACCGCAUGGUUUGGUGAGGAAAUGGAUUCCGCUUCGGGGAGGGCUUCGCGGCCUAUCAGCUAGUUGGGUGGGGUAACGGCCCACCAAGGCAUCGACGGGUAGCUGGUCUGAGAGGACGAUCAGCCACACUGGGACUGAGACACGGCCCAGACUCCUACGGGAGGCAGCAGUGGGGAAUCUUGCGCAAUGGGCGAAAGCCUGACGCAGCAACGCCGCGUGGGGGAUGAAGGCUCUCGGGGUUGUAAACCCCUUUCAGCAGGGACGAAUCAAGACGGUACCUGCAGAAGAAGCCCCGGCUAACUACGUGCCAGCAGCCGCGGUAAU
rnacentral:rRNA from 1 species